rnacentral:rRNA from 1 species
UACGGAGGGUGCAAGCGUUAUCCGGAUUCACUGGGUUUAAAGGGUGCGUAGGCGGGCGCGUAAGUCAGUGGUGAAAUCUCCGGGCUCAACCCGGAAACUGCCAUUGAUACUAUGCGUCUUGAAUUUUGUUGAGGUUGGCGGAAUAAGUCAUGUAGCGGUGAAAUGCAUAGAUAUGACUUAGAACACCGAUUGCGAAGGCAGCUAACUAAGCAAACAUUGACGCUGAGGCACGAAAGCGUGGGGAUCAAACAGG